ensembl:lncRNA
CAGAGCUGUUGAGCAUGGCUGGGUGUUUGGAUCCAUCAGAGAGCAGUGCAGAGACAGUCCCAGCCCCCCUGAAACCCACCGCUGGGAGGGGCUUGCUGGAAAGAGGGACACAGAGGGCUUGCUUACAGUGACACUGAUGAUAGAAGCCUCUACUGACAACUACAUCGUUGAUAUGAAGGGAGAAGACCAACCAAAGACUGCAGUCUGGACCUGCAGAAGGAGGUGGACACAGACCCAACCCAAAAUCAUCACCAGCCCAUGUGCUGCAAGCAAAUUUAAGACAGAAUGAAUAUUGAAAUCAGUAAAGACUUGAAUUUAAAUCUCAGCUUUGCUAUUUAUUAGCUGUGAGAAUUUGGGUUGUCACUUUGCCUCUCAGAGCCUCCAUUUUCCUUUCUGUAAAAUGGGAACAAUAUCACAGUGUUCCAAAGGGCCAGUGGGAUGAUACAAUGAAAUGGCUCCCAGCUGAGGACUCUUGUCAUGCAUCACAACUGUCUUCACCUGCUUUUAGUGGCCCCAUCAGACUCAUUGUAUUAAGGGAGCUCAUUAAAAAUGGCAAUGAUGGUGUCCUUAAUAGGAAUGGUGAUGACAAGGAUGGAAGUAUAACUCAACCUCAAGAAAUCGACCUCAGGCUUAGAUUUAGCCUGCAAGGUAGGAUAUCAAACAACAGGGAACUUGACAAUCAGGAUGAAGACAUUCUUCAGACACUGCGGUUAUUACACCAGGAUGUUUUACAGUCACGUUUCUCACUCGUCUGCUGAAUGCAACUGUUCACAGUCAUAGUGAUUAUUGAUUAUAUAGGUGAGUGUCUGUCUUUGUGGUAUUUCUCCUGGAUUAGCCAGAUCAUUAAUUUCAUGGCAUAUGCUGCUUACUGACACUUCUGGGAAAUCGGAAAUCUGAAUAAACACUUUUACCAGAAAUUAUAUUAGAUUUAAUAUUUGACUAAGAGAUUCCCAGAUAUUUAACAUUACACCAUAGUCAAGAGAGAAAGCUUGGGAAUUCCUGUGUGACUUCAGUUUGUAACCCAUGGCAUUUUAUUUCCCUUCCUUAAGGUCAUUCAAGCACAUAAGACAUCUUUACUCCUUUUUCCAUCCUGGGCAUCCUUUUCAGGCUCUGAGUUUCCAAGGAGCCAGGGAGCAUGCCUUAGAUCUUCCUGAGGUCUGCCUCUCACCUCUCAGCCAGGACCACCCACCAGGCCUGUGGUGACCCCUAGUGAUUUCCUCAAGUCUAGCCAGUUGCUUGCUGUACUGGUUUGAAUUGCAUGUAUUCCUGUUUAGUCGCUAAGUUGUGUCUGACUCUCUGAAGACCUGUAAAUUGUAGCCUUCCAGGCUCCUCUGUCCAUGAGAUUUUUCAGGCAAGAAUAAUGGAGUGCAUUACCAUUUCCUCCUCCAGGGGAUCGUCUGGACCCAGGGAUCACAUCCGCAUCUCCUGUGUCUCCUGCAUUGGCAGGCUGGUUCUUUACCACUGAGCCACCUGGGAAGGGUUGAAAGGUAGCCACCCCAAAAGAUACACCCAUCCAGAACCUGUGAAUGGGAACUUGUUUGGAAAAAGGAACUUUGCAGAUGGAAUUAAUUAAAAAAUCUAGAGAUGAGUUCAACCUGAGUUGCCUCAGUGUACCCUAAACCCACUUACAAGUGUUCUUACAAGAGACAGAGAUCAGCAAGCAUGGCUGGAAAAGACGGGAAGACACAUGAAGACGGAGAUGGUGAUGUAACCGCAGGGAACACUGAGGACCAUCAGAGCUGGAAGAAGCAAGGAGGGAUCCUCUCCCUGAGCCUGCAGAGGAACCACGGCCCUGCUGACACCUUGAUUUUGGACUUCUAGGCUCCAAAACUGUGAGACUAAAUUUCUGUUGUUUCAUGAUACCUGGCUUGUGAUAAUUGGCUAUGGCAGCCCUACGAAACUAAUAUAGCAGUCCAGCCUGCUUUCUGCCAGGCACUGGUCUCUCCCAACUCUCUCUUCAGUAGUGCCUGGGGAGGGUAAUUUAUAUGCACACAUUCCAGCUUUAUUUAGUUUACUUUACCUUUUAAUAUUCAGAGGCUUCAGACAUAGGCAUCUCAGCCUCACAUCUUCAACCUGAAGAUAGCGGGGAUUUGAGGCUACAGUUAAUAGGUAUCUUCCCAUCCCUAUGCUCAUGAUAGACAGUCAUCUCGAGCACUCUCUCUCCUUACUCUGAUUUCUCUUCUACAGCAUCUUGGCAGGGGGAUUUUCCUGGGACUUGCUUGCUUGCUUGCAAUUAUUUAUUUAUUUUUAUAUGGACCAUUCUUAAAGUUUUUAUUGAAUUUGUUACAAUAUUGCUUCUGUGUUAUGUUUUGGUCAUGAGGCAUGUGGGAUCUUAGUUCCUCCACCAGGGAUCAAACUUGCAUCCCCUGAAU